AAGGCGUUAUGGAGCCCACCUCGACCCGCGUGGCCAUGGUUAUGGUUGUGGACCCAUGGGGGUUAGGAACAUCGAGAAUGGAGAAGCAAUUGCUAAACAAAACAAACAAAAAACCCUCCGCUGACCUCACCAGGCAGGCUUGGACCUGCCUCUCCCAGUCUCUGAGCUCUGGACAAGGGGAGUGGACUAAACGUCCAUCCCUGAAGUUCGUUCCAGCUCUAAGGGUGUAGAAAAAGCAUCAACACUCGCUGGAGGGUUUUCCCGACUCAGCUCAUCUAGAGGCCAGCACUUAUGGCAAACAGCAGUGAUCUCUGCUAUACAGAUAAGGAAACCAGCUCAGAGAGGCCAACUAACUGGUCUGGAGUCACCCAGGAAGCAAGACGCGAAGCCAGGAUUUAAAACCAGAGCCUGCCCACAUCCCAGGUGAUCCUAAUCACAAGUGUAUGCUAAGCACCUAGCACAGAGAAGGCAAGUGACCUGCUGCAGGUCACACAGCAACGCAGCUCGCAGCUCGGGGGUGCCUGGGAGCAUAAAGCUGGUUAGUGACCUUGGAACCCAUGCCCUAGGCACCAACCCCACCCAAUCGUCCCUUAGUUCCUUUUCUUUCCCCUCUCCCACCCUUCCAGAUGCCAUAAAAAGAAGCCAUUCUUUCUCACUCAACCUGCUUUUGUUAUUUGUUUGCUUGUGGUUCUUUUCUGUUGAACACACAUUUUAUGCUGACUGCCUUCAUAUUCUUAAUAAAAAGAGAAACGUCCAACUGUGAGGGCUUCCCGUGAGUAAGAUCUC